rnacentral:rRNA from 1 species
AUUGAACGCUGGCGGCAUGCUUUACACAUGCAAGUCGAACGGCAGCGCGGGCUUCGGCCUGGCGGCGAGUGGCGAACGGGUGAGUAAUAUAUCGGAACGUACCCAAGAGUGGGGGAUAACGUAGCGAAAGUUACGCUAAUACCGCAUACGAUCCAAGGAUGAAAGCAGGGGACCGCAAGGCCUUGUGCUCCUGGAGCGGCCGAUAUCUGAUUAGCUAGUUGGUGAGGUAGAGGCUCACCAAGGCAACGAUCAGUAGCUGGUCUGAGAAGACGACCAGCCACACUGGAACUGAGACACGGUCCAGACUCCUACGGGAGGCAGCAGUGGGGAAUUUUGGACAAUGGGGGCAACCCUGAUCCAGCAAUGCCGCGUGAGUGAAGAAGGCCUUCGGGUUGUAAAGCUCUUUUGUCAGGGAAGAAAAGGCUGUGGCUAAUAUCCACAGCUGCUGACGGUACCUGAAGAAUAAGCACCGGCUAACUACGUGCCAGCCGCCGCUGUAA